CCGCCGCCGCCGGGCAGCCGGGGGGAAUCCGCCCGCAUCACCGCCCUCGCCGGCCGGGCGGCCGUGGGGCCCAGAGUGCCGGAGGCCGGAGGCCGGGGCUGGGGCGGCACCGCGCAGCGGCCACGGGGUCCCGUUAGAGCAGCGUCCGGCGGCUAUGCUGAGAGCCCGGAGCGGCCGGAGGAGCAGAGGGGCCGGCGGGAGGGAGGAAACCUUUCUGCGAGUACGAGCCAACCGGCAGACCCGACUGAAUGCUCGGAUUGGGAAAAUGAAACGGAGGAAGCAAGAUGAAGGGCAGAGGGAAGGCUCCUGCAUGGCUGAGGAUGAUGCUGUGGACAUCGAGCAUGAGAACAACAACCGCUUUGAGGAGUAUGAAUGGUGUGGGCAGAAGCGGAUACGGGCCACCACUCUUCUGGAAGGUGGCUUCCGAGGCUCCGGCUUCAUCAUGUGCAGCGGCAAAGAGAACCCGGACAGUGAUGCGGACUUGGAUGUGGAUGGGGAUGACACUUUGGAGUAUGGGAAGCCACAAUAUACAGAGGCUGAUGUCAUCCCCUGCACAGGCGAGGAGCCUGGUGAAGCCAAGGAGAGAGAGGCACUCCGGGGCGCAGUCCUAAAUGGCGGCCCUCCCAGCACACGCAUCACGCCUGAGUUCUCUAAAUGGGCCAAUGACGAGAUGCCAUCCACCAGCAAUGGUGAAAGCAGCAAGCAGGAGGCCAUGCAGAAGACCUGCAAGAACAGUGACAUCGAGAAAAUCACCGAAGAUUCAGCUGUGACCACGUUUGAGGCUCUGAAGGCUCGGGUCAGAGAACUUGAACGGCAGCUAUCUCGUGGGGACCGUUACAAAUGCCUCAUCUGCAUGGACUCGUACUCGAUGCCCCUGACGUCCAUCCAGUGUUGGCACGUGCACUGCGAGGAGUGCUGGCUGCGGACGCUGAGUGCCAAGAAGCUCUGCCCUCAGUGCAACACGAUCACAGCGCCCGGAGACCUGCGGAGGAUCUACUUGUGAGCUAUCUGCCCCAGGCAGGCCUCGCCUCCAGCAGCCCCACCUGCCCCCAGCCUCUGUGACAGUGACCCUCUCCCUUUGUACAUACUUGCACACAGGUUCCCCAUGUACAUACAUGCACAUACUCACACAUGCGUACUACACACACACACAUUUACACACGUAGGACUCUGGAGCCAGAGUAGAGGCUGUGGCCCAGGCACUACCUGCUGGCUCCCACCUAUGGUUUGGGGGCCAUACCUGUUCCAGCUCUGUUCCCAGGGUAGGGCAGGGAGGUGGGGGUUGGGGGAGUAGUGGGGCACGGCUCCUGAGAUGCAGCCCCCAGACUGACAGAUGGACAGACAGACAUGCAAACACCAGACUGAAGCACAUGUAAUAUAGACCGUGUAUGUUUACAAUGUUGUGUAUAAAUGGGACAACUCCUCGCCCUCUACCUGUCCCCUCCCCCUUUGGUUGUAUGAUUUUCUUCUUUUUUAAGAACCCCUGGAAGCAGUGCCUCCUUCAGGGUUGGCUGGGGGCUCGGCUCAUCCACCUCUUGGGGUACCUGCCUCCCUCUCCCGUGGUGUCCCUUCCCUCUCCCACGUGCUCGGUGUCCAGUGGUGUAUAUUUCUUCUCCCAGACGUGGGGCACAUGCCCCAAGGGACAUGAUCUUCUCCUUAGUCUUAGCUCAUGGGACUCUUUAUAAGGAGUUGGGGGGGUAGAAGCAGGAAACGGGAACCGAGCUGAAGCAGAGGCUGAGAUGGGGGACUGGAAGACAGUGCUCCUGGCCACCCAGCCUCUGCUGAGAACCAUUUCUGGGAUUAGAGCUGCCCUUCCCAGGGAAAAAGUGUCAUCUCCCCGACCCUCCCGUGGGCCCUAUGGUGUGAUGCUGUGUCUGUAUAUUCUAUACAAAGGUACUUGUCCUUUCCCUUUGUAAACUACAUUUGACAUGGAUUAAACCAGUAUAAACAGUUAAAAAAAAAAAAAAAAAAA